UCAAAUAACAAACCUGUCAAAAACACUUGAUUGUCAAAGGUAUCAUUUAUGAAUUUAUACAUAUGUAUAUAUUCUUUCUGCUGGUGAUUUACAUCUGAAUGACGACCUGCUACCGAAUCUGAAAAAUGAGGCAUAUAUAGUGACAGGACUAAUAUACUGCUUUACUGUAUGGCAGAGCUGCUGCAGUGCUGUAAUGGGGGAAGGAGGGUCAAUAUUGGUCUCAGUCAUGAUGAAUGAGACACUUAUAAAUUCGACUAAUGGCUAAAGGGUAUUUCUCAAAGGACAUUACACAUAGUGUUGCCCUGUGAGUUACAGUGGGAUCAAUUUCUUAUUGACUCUACUUGGCGCUCUCUCAGAGGAAUGGAGGACUGCUGAGCUAGUCAUAAGGCUGUGGACUUCUGUCCACCCCAUAAAUCUUAAUCUGUGGUCUAUUAGUCUUCAAGUUGCAAACAGGUGGUCAUACUUUCACUUUCAGGAGUUUUACUUUCACAUUUUGAAUUGUUCAGAUUUCAGUUUGGCUAGGGGUCCUUAGGUUGUAAUGCAACUUUACUGCAUUAACUAACAACUAGACUUCUGUCACUUUAUGACUCUGAAUACGGAGAGGGGCUUGUGAUUACUGUCUGUGGGUUACAAAUGCACUUCUGUAUUCUGUACAAAUUAGGCUGACACAAUUAAAUGAGAACCACAGACCUAAAACUGCAAAUACAUGAAAAAUUUAGAGCUUUUUUUUUAAGGGAAGGGUGGUUUUGUGUGUGUGUGGUUUAUCUGAACUCUAUGAGCAGGCUAUAUAGGCUAAAAUGGUGGCUGCUGCUAGUGCCAAGUAUUCUUUCCCUGUGGCAGUCAGGAAGUGAAGAGAGCUGAGGCCUGAUGUUUUCAGCUCUUAUACUCACAGUGGACUCAUUUUACUCUCCUCCAUCCUGUCAAAAGGGAAACAACAGCUCAGUGCCUCCCCUGAGUUUUAAUUAGUCUGGGGAGUGAAGUGGACGAAGCACUUUCUCAGCAGCCAUCUAAUGUGGUGACAAGGGGUUGUAAUUAUAGAGUUGAUGCCAUCCUAGCAACAGUGUCCUCAGAGGAGCCCUUUAAGUGUCCUCAAAGGAAUUCCUACUGCCAACAGACUUUUCUGUGACCUGCGCUGGCAAGAGAGGAAUUGUUGCUAGGGAGCAUGAAAUGAUCACUAAUGGCAGAGGGGAUAAGGUGCAGCAGGUGAACAGUGAAAGAAUAUAAUGCUUCAGAAUUAUAUAUAGCCAACACAUCAUAACCCUGGUAAAAUAAGCAAAUCAAAUAAAGAACAUUUCUCUAUUAAA